ensembl:lncRNA novel transcript
AAAAUGUAUUUGGAAGCAGCUACUUCUUACCUUCUUUUCACGGAUUCAGGUCACCAUUCACACUCACUUGGAUUAUUGCAAUAAUUUCCUAACUGGGUUCCAUGUUUCCAGCUUUUCUGUCUGCAGUCUGUUUUGUUUUCAACAUGUGGCCAGAGGGAUCCUGUUAACAUCUAAGUGAAAUAUAUCAUUUCUCUGCAGUGGCUCCCUAGCUGCUCAGAGUAAAAUCUAAUGUUUUUACAAUGGCCUGAAAGGCUCUCCAUAACCUUAUCCCCUCCCACUUACCUCCCUGUCUCCUCUCCUCCCUCCGACACUCAGCCCCUGUGUAUUUUAGCUAUUGAAAGAAUAUGUGGGCACACUGCUAAUUUAUUGUCUUUGUGGAGGCUUGGUUUGUGCAUUCCUUAUUUCAAACACUUAUGGGUGGACUCUGGUAAUGAGCAGUCAUAUUUAUGAGUCCCCCUCCAAGUGAGGAGAUGUACUAGGUGGAAUGUGCGCCCUCCCUCACGUGGUAUACUCUUGAUACAGAGCCAAGCAGGUAGUACCGUUGGUCCUGCUUUGUAGGUGAGGGAAAGCAGACCCAAAAUGAAGGAAGUUGUCCAGGGUUACAUGCUGGGAAGUGGUGGAGGUAGAAUUCAAACCCGGAGCGCAGGCGUUGUCUGCACCUCGGAGAGGCACCGCUCUUCCUGAAAUGCUCCUCCCUGGUUAUCUAUGAGGCUGAAGUCCUCACCUCUUUCAGGUCUUUGCUGAAUUAGAACCUUCUCCAUAAGGCAAGGCUGAUGCUGAGCACCCCACUGAAAAUUUUCCUCUCUCCCAAGACCCUCUUCUCAGUCCCUCUACUUGGCUCAUUUCAGGUGUCUAGCACGUCACGCCCUUUAAUACAUUUUGCAAGUAUUUCUCCACGAGUGUGAGAAAGUGGUUUUCUUUGGUGGGGGUUGAUUUUUCAUGGCACAUAAAGGGCAGCAGGGUUUCUUUGGGUCCUGUCUGGAGGCCUGAAGGUCACGCUGGGCUUCUGGGGAGCGGGUCCCCUUCCUGCAGCCUCCCUCUCCACUUGCGUGUUUCUCACUCCUCUCUCUCCCUGGGAAGUGUUGCUUGAUAAAGAUGCAGCUUUUAAUUAAUGUAACUGUUCAAGAUUACAGCCGGUCAUCAGCUUUCUAACCAGUGCCUCACAGCUCUGCUGGAAGAGCCUUGCUCCGGUGAUGGUUGAUUUGCCAUUCUCUGUCCCAGCCCAGAGAAGCUCCCCUCACUGUCAACGUGCCAUCUGUCAGGUGCAUGUUAUAAAGCUGUCAUCAUGAUCAGCUCAUUCACGCACCAGCUUUAGCUUUGAGGAACUGCCGGCCAUGGCGUUGAAGACCUGCUGAAGCCUCCAGCCAGACAUCUGAUGUUCAGGUCUCAGGGGGUCCUUGCUGCUUGUGUAGCCUGACAGGUGUGGCCACGGCAGGCACACCAUGGUUUGGAGUUUGGAAAGAAGAGACCCUGUGUUAUUGUAGAGUGACCACUGGAUUGGGCUUCUGGAAAUCCAAUUCUAAUCAGACUUGGGUUAUGCAUUUACUAUUUCAAUAAAACAUUUAUGGAUGGACUCUGGUAAUCAACAGCCAUAUUUUUGAGUACCCACUGCAGACCCUGGAAGCUGUCCUGAAUUUCAAAUACUCUGGAGGCCCGGGCCACACUGAAGGAUAUUACAGGAAUCUCUCCCUGGGGCUGCAUGUAGAAGUCGAGCCGUCUGUAUUUUUCACCCGAGUCAGCACCCUCCCAGCAACCAGGUAAAUGUCUUCCUGCCGCACAGCCGUCUUGUUCUAGAGUCUCAACAGCACUACGUUCAGAAUCCUGACCUCAGUGUGUUUUUGUCAUGCAUCCCGUCAGAUCCGUGCCAUGGGGCCAAGUUGCUGAGCCUCUCUGGGAUGUAGGUUUUUCUUUAGGAAACCAGGUGUUACAUGAGAACUGCCUCUCAGGUGGUCGUAAGUGAAUGGGCUUUA